ensembl:processed_transcript
GACCCGCGGGGCCUCGGGGCGCCCGGACUCAGCUCGCCCGGGAGCAGCUCUGGAGAUGGCUGUCAGAGGCCACCGUGUCUGUGCCGGGCACCGGAGCGGCCUGCGCCGGCAUUGGCGUCUCCCACGCCCCGGACUGGGAGCGAGUGCCCCGCCAUCCUCUCCAGCCUCCGAGUCGCGGGAACCGCAGAGGACGGCGAGCUUGGGAGUCCGCAUCGCUCGCCGCAGCGGACUCGGCCGCUCAGGAUGCAAAACCACCUGUUCGAGCCGCGGGGAGCGCCCCCGGCCCCAGCCCGCAUCUCUCCCCCGCGGAUGCCACUGCCAGCCUUACCCCCUAUGAUUUUUUUUUUAAUGGCUCAAAUGUACAUCCGGGAAAAAUCGAGAAGAUAGAGUCAAUCAAACUUCCUUCUCCCCACACCCGGAGUCCCCACACUCCCCACACUCCUGCGCGGAGGCAGGCGUGAGCCUCUAGUGCCCGGCCCGCACUCCACACACGGCCUCACUCCGCGCCGCGAGGCUCAGUCACUGCUUAGGGAAAGCUGAGCCCGUGAGAGCGCGGGCACCGAGGGGAGCGAACCUAGGCCACUCUGGCAGCAGCCGGAGGCUCGAGGGGGUGGGGAAGCAGAGAUCACAGCCAAGGAAACGUUAGGGAAAGUCGCCACAAGCCACAGAAGCCCUGUCUUACCGAUGUGGAUGAUAGAAUCAGCGGUCGCCAGGUCCCAGGUUCGAGACCAACAGAAGGACAGAAACAAGAGCAAGGGGAAAACUUCCAUCCUCCGAUGCCGAUCCUCCUUGACCACGACUUUGCUUCCAAGACGUAGAUAUUCUCUUAAGCGGUCCACAGAGUUUGAGGUCAGGAUAGAGUUGAGUGCAGCUUUCCCCCUAAUUUCCAAAUCCCUCUUUACAGCACAAUCUUUUCUAGUCACAGAAGAGGCACGGGCGACCCGAGAGCUAGCACAGCCAGAGGCAGCCUCCUCCCAAGCCCUGUCACUCGGAGGGGAAUUUUGGCAUUGCCAGAGUUGUUUGCAGUUGGGCUUUUUAAAAAAUGUAUCCAGCCUUGGCUGCUCUCGGACGGGGGGCGAGGCUGGCGCUCAGACGGUGGCCGUGGCCGCACGGGGGCCGCGGUGGCGGGUCCCAGCUCCGCCGCAACUUGGGCACCCCCGCGCCGGAUGUGCCCGCGCCCUCCCCCGCCGCCGAGCCCCUCCACCCGGGGCCGUGCGCGGUCGUGGCGCCUCGCGGCCAGCUCUCAGUGCCACCAGCGAGGAUGAAGAUGCGAUCGGAGUCGCCAGAUUCCAGCGGGGAGGGGGAGGUCCGCUUCGGGAGGGGUGGCAAAAGUGAACUUGAAGGUAAUGCAGCUAGUAAUGCAGAGAAUACUCCCCUUCGGCGCGAGACGGGCCCCGGAGCUGGCGCGGCGGGCGCGGUGGCGGGGGAGUCCGGCGGGAGCGAGCAGCGGGCCAGGCCGGCGCGCGGAGCCGCGGCUGCAGGAUGCUCCCGAGCCGCUCGCCUGGCGGGAUGCGGGAAGCCAACAGCAGCCUGGCAAGCUCCGCUGCAGCCCCACGUUGCCUAGAAAUGGAUCACCUAGGAGAAGCGAGUCCGCAAGAGAGCGGUGCUGUCAGGCGGAGAGGGGAACCGAGAGAGGAAGAGCUUCUAAUAACCACCUCCUCCCCCUAUCUGCAAUACAAGGGAGAAACAAAACCGCGCUCUCAAUUCCCUGGGAAUCUUCACCCGGACUGAGAAAGGCAGGACUCAAAGAGAAGGCAGUGAAGUCCCCCACCUGCCUUGACGGUUUUUUUUUUUUUUUUUUUUGGAUGUUUUUGUUUUUCCCCGUAGGUUAUAAAAACAACCUAAAAAGCCACCCCACUUAUUUAACCUUGCUAUCCCCCAACAGGUACCGGACUUUUUUCUAGGCGUCGUCUGGAAUUAGUCACAUUGGCUAAGAACAAAUUAGGGACACCUAGUCACUUAGGGAAAAGAAGACCUAGAAAGCUUUUAAUGAGAUUUCAAUUAUAAAGUUAUAAAAAGCGGAGAACGUGCUAAUUACCUUUAAACAGUGGGUUGCUCCCCCCCCCCUUUCGGUCUCUGGUGUUUUUAAGGCAAUCAAAAUGCAGAAAGAAUUUUGAUAUACUGUUAGAAAACAGACAGUCUUGACAUUCAAAUAUAUAUCUAAAAAUGUUAAGGACAAUAAAACAAAACAAACAAAACAGCCUCAGUCGUCAAAAUCCUGCAUUAAGUUAAUCACCUGUGCAGUUAAGUAGCCACAGGGAAGCUACUUGCUGUUCUUGGGGAGCCUGCAGAUGCACUGUAAGGUAAGGUCCCGGCCUUAAAAGAAGGGAUUUUGUGCAAGCUUUACCCCUGCUCUUGGUGACUUCUAAUGACUAGUUUAUAUCCUUCCAUCUUAUUGCAGAAGGGGGUUCUGUUAACUCAAUCAAGUGUGUAACUGAGGUCAGCUAUUAACAGCUCUGAUACUGUUUCAAUUACAAACGUAGUCCACUGGCUGGGAAACUUGUUACCUGGGGGAUGGAUAUCAGAACCCAAGUUCAUUGUGAAUCUGGCUAAGAUCUUUUGUUCCUGUUUCCUCACUGACCCCUUUUCUACUAUCUUGAUGAUUUGACUUAGUUGCCUAUUCUCGCGUCUGAAAUAUCCUAACUUUCCUUCAUUUUGUAAAUUCCAUCCCUGGACGUUCCAGAAAAUGUUUUGUUCUUUUGCUGCUCACAUCAACAGUAUCUCAUGGAUUACAAUAAAGUCAUUCAAGUCCCUCAGCACCUCAAGAGCAGAAACCUGUCACUCAUGAAACACUGCCCGACCCUUGAGUAUGAAAUAAUCCCACCCAUCUCCUAGGCUCUCAAUGCAGUCUUCCAUGGAGUCUAAAAGAAACACUACUUUAAAAUGAGCUCACCAAUGUCUUCACUGAUGGUUGGGACUUAUACACAUGUUUUGGAUAACAUUGAUUUGCACAGAGCCCCAGUUGUUGAAUUUCAAUUCUUCUGAAUCUAGAACAAACCAGUACUUCCAGGAAGCCAUCACUGACUGCACUUCCCAAUCACUUUUCAUCAUCUGUUCAUUUCCCCACCAUGAAUUCAAUACGGAUGAUCUUCAUGUUAUUAUUGAUGUCAUCUACUAUUCAGAGUAUUUUGAUGCACUUCCAUAAAUGUUGAUACAGAUGAUGAAUUUUUAAAAACGGGUGUAUGUCCACACAGGACUAUGGUUCAUUUUAAAAGCUAGUGACUCACUGUGUGUUCUAUCAGGAGAAAUUGGGAAGUCAUCAUUUAAGAUGGACACAGCAAUAUCAUAUCUUAGAAGAAGAUUGAUAGCUGAAACCUUCGAACAAAAUUGUGUCAUCCCAUCCUAACCUUAUUCAGUGCUGUUCUUAGAGAUAACUAGUAACUAAAUAUAUUUGUGGUCAUAUAAUCUACUAGAAACUUCUUUUAAUGUACCGUAAACAAAAUAUUGCAUUUGUUCCAAAAUCCUCCAUUUAGUAGUUUCCUAUCAUAAACACACUAUAGAAUAAUCAGGUGCCUUUAUGUACCUUCUGUUUCUGUGACAAAACAUUGACUAAACCAAACCAACUUGAACGGAAAAAGCAGGUUUAUUUGGCUUAUAAUUCCAUGUCUUUAACUCUCUGUCAUUGAGGAAAGCCAGGACAGUAAGUCAAUCAACAACCUGGAGGCAAUAGAAUAAUGCUGCUUACUGGCUUCCUACUCACAGAUUUCUGGGUCUGCUCUCUUAAUCAACCCAGAGCUACCCACUUUCCUAAAGUGGCAAGCUAGACAGAGGGUUGAACCCUUACAUGUCAGCUAUAAAUUUAAGAAAAUGCUAUAUUGGCAUGCUCAACAGACCAAUCUGGAGGCACUUUCUCAAUUGAGAUUCUCUCUUCCCAGGUGACUCUAGUUUGUGUCAAAGUAACAAGAACUAAACAAGAACACCUGUGCUUCUUUGCAAAGGGCUUGUGUAAGUAUAAUUAAGUCAAAAACUCCAAAGCUUAGCAUUUAUAACCAACCCACUUCUGUAAGUGCCCCUAACAGGUAGUCAUAGUUCAGAACCACUAUUCUAAUACUUGGGCAUCUAAAGAAAUUUGGGUGACACAUCCCGAAACACGCCAAGAUAUAAUGAUCAACCCCUGUCAAUUAAAACAGGUACUCAAACAUGGGUUGAAGCUUUCCAAGCAAGAAAAGCAAGAAACGUAGUAACACCAUCAGCCUACUGGUUUCAAUUUAGGAACAGCAGCCUUUUCUGUGUCCAAGUAAUUCCUAUGCACACUGAGCCCUAAUUAAUUGGCUUUGUAUUAAUAUCAAUUCAUACACUAUAAUAUGAAUGUACAGCUAUUUUUUAGAAAACUGGAUAUGAUAGUUACCUAGAAAUAAAGAUUUACCAUGUACAAAAUGGAUGUUGAAUACCAAGUGUAAAAAUCGCAUAUUUACUGACUAUUAAUUAAUUAUUGAUCUACAGUGAAUUAAACUUUGUAUACAUUAGAUACAUGCUAAUAAAUGUCUCAACC